rnacentral:rRNA from 1 species
AUACGUAGGUGGCAAGCGUUGUCCGGAUUUACUGGGUGUAAAGGGCGUGUAGGCGGAGAUGCAAGUCAGGAGUGAAAUCUAGGGGCUCAACCCCUAAACUGCUUUUGAAACUGUAUCCCUUGAGUAUCGGAGAGGCAGGCGGAAUUCCUAGUGUAGCGGGGAAAUGCGGAGAUAUAAGGAGGAGCACCAGUGGCGAAGGCGGUCUGCUGGGAGACAACUGAAGCUGAGGGGCGAAAGCGUGGGGAGAAAACAGUAGUAGAUGCCCGGGGAGUCCACGCGGUAAACGAUGAAGACUUGGUGUUGGGGGAAUGGCGACCUUAGUGCCGCAGAUAACGCAAUAAGUAUUCCGCCUGGGGAGUACGAUCGCAAGGUUGAAACUCAAAGGAAUUGACGGGG